GCCGCAUUCGGUGUGACACCUCAUUCAGUGCUUACUACGCGGGCUUUUUACACUUCCGCGUUUGUGGUUUCUCAAUUGGUUCUGUCCAGCAACGGAGUCCCGAAAUGCCAGUUAAAAGAUCACUGAAACUGGACGAUCAGUUUGAAGAAAAUGUAAGUAUUCGUUUGAGGAUUGUGAUUGCAGCCAGCUGUAGCACAUGCCUGUAAUCCCAUCACAUGUUAGGUGGAGGCAGGAGUAUGCUGACUUCAAGAAAAUCCUCAGUUACAUGGCUGCCUGGGUCACAGGAAAGGGAGGAUGGUCAGGGUGAUAGGGAAGAUUGAGAGCAAAUGAGCAUUGUGACUACACGAUUAUGACUGUGUGUGUAACUUUUGCCUAGUGAGUCACCUUGCUAAAUAUAACAUUUAUCAAAAACAUGACACAGUUUUCAUUGGUACAAUGUUAUCUGCAUACAAAAUAUUUUUCUAAUAUAGCAUGUCAAAAUUUCCAGUCAACUUGAGAUAGACAUGCGAGAAGGAAUUCGUUUACAGAAGUUUGCCACUUACAUAUAUAAGAAACAAUAUGAAAGUGUAGCAGUAUGUUCAUAUAUUAUUGUCCAGUAAAGAAAUAUCAAAACAGCAGUGACAUUAUCAUGUCAAAAUGUAAAUUUGCCUCAACUAUGCUGG
rnacentral:sRNA from 1 species